rnacentral:tRNA from 1 species
GUGGCAUUAGCUCAGAUGGAUAGAGCAACGGCCUUCUAAGCCGUGGGUCGCAGGUUCGAGUCCUGCAUGCUGCACCA